rnacentral:rRNA from 1 species
UCUUGCUGACGAGCGGCGGACGGGUGAGUAAAGUCUAGGAAUUUGCCCAGUAGAGGGGGACAACGCGGGGAAACUCGCGCUAAUACCGCAUACGCCCUAAGGGGGAAAGGUGCUUAGAUGUACCGCUAUUGGAUGAGCCUAGAUCGGAUUAGCUAGUUGGUAGGGUAAAGGCCUACCAAGGCGACGAUCCGUAGCUGGUCUGAGAGGAUGAUCAGCCACACUGGGACUGAGACACGGCCCAG